GACAGAGGGUGCAACCGUUGUUCGGAAUUACUGGGCGUAAAGCGCGUGUAGGCGGCCCUGUAAGUCGGGUGUGAAAUCCCACGGCUCAACCGUGGAAGUGCACUCGAAACUACAGGGCUAGAGUCCUGGAGAGGAAGGUGGAAUGCUUGGUGUAGAGGUGAAAUUCGUAGAUAUCAAGCGGAACACCGGUGGCGAAGGCGGCCUUCUGGACAGUGACUGACGCUGAGACGCGAAAGCGUGGGGAGCAAACAGG
rnacentral:rRNA from 1 species